rnacentral:rRNA from 1 species
GAUGAACGCUGGCGGCGUGCCUAAUACAUGCAAGUCGAGCGAACAGACGAGGAGCUUGCUCCUCUGACGUUAGCGGCGGACGGGUGAGUAACACGUGGAUAACCUACCUAUAAGACUGGGAUAACUUCGGGAAACCGGAGCUAAUACCGGAUAAUAUCUUGAACCGCAUGGUUCAAUAGUGAAAGACGGUUUUGCUUUCACUUAUAGAUGGAUCCGCGCCGCAUUAGCUAGUUGGUAAGGUAACGGCUUACCAAGGCAACGAUGCGUAGCCGACCUGGGAGGGUGAUCGGCCACACUGGAACUGAGACACGGUCCAGACUCCUACGGGAGGCAGCAGUAGGGAAUCUUCCGCAAUGGGCGAAAGCCUGACGGAGCAACGCCGCGUGAGUGAUGAAGGUCUUCGGAUCGUAAAACUCUGUUAUUAGGGAAGAACAAAUGUGUAAGUAACUAUGCACGUCUUGACGGUACCUAAUCAGAAAGCCACGGCUAACUACGUG